AGGAGAAGCUCAUUGAGAGUUGUGUCAGCACAGGCUAGCUGCAGCAGGGGUGGCACAUCACAGAAGAAGUCAUCGAUGUGGUUGGAGCUGCAGAAGGGGAGCUAGAAGGAGGAUGCUGCCGUGGACAUGAAGAAACGUCUCAUCUGGACUAGACUUCCCCCAAGGAUUGAAGAAUUCUUCUGUUAUCUCUGGAGAGUCAAUGGCCACUGAUCUCAAAGUCUUCAUCACAUCAGAGGACAAUUUCACCUUUCCUAACUAUGUAGAUGACCUCCUUUUUGCUGUCCCAAGUUGUGAGGACUGCUAUCAAGGAAGUAUUUCUUUCAUCUACUUUGGAUGGCUGGAUCGCCUCCCACAAAAAAGGCACACAUCUGCCAACAAAAGAGACUUUGGUGGACAGACGCAGCACCACUCAACUGAUGGCCUUAACCAAGUACCACCCUGUGCUGAAUAGGGCGCCAUCCCCUCUGUUGACAAUAUGAAUAACAAUAAAGAUGAAGCACUCUAUUGAGACUCAUCCAUAAAGAGCAUCAAAGGGGAAAUUUAAGCAGGACUUAAAGGAAAAGGGAAACAAGUUUUUCCUGUCCUUGGGACAUAUCCCCACCAUCACACCCACUCCCCUCCCUUGUAUGUGUGACUCCUUGUUUUGGUUCAGAUUAAAUUAGC
rnacentral:lncRNA from 1 species